rnacentral:rRNA from 1 species
GGGGGGGGGGGGGGGGGGGCGGGGGGCGGGCGGGGCGGACGGGGGGGCCCGGGUUGGGUGGGGUGCUCGGGGGGGGACCGGGGGAGUAACCCGUGGGUGACCUGCCCUUGACUUUGGGAUGACUUAAGGAACCUGGGGCUAAUGCCGGAUAGGAGCUGCUGCUGCAUGGUGGUGGUUGGAAAGUUUCGGCGGUUGGGGAUGGACUCGCGGCUUCUUAGCUUGUUGGUGGGGUAGUGGCUUACCAAGGCUUUGACGGUUAGCCGGCCUGAGAGGGUGACCGGCCACAUGGGGACUGAGAUACGGCCCAGACUCCUACGGGAGGAAGCAGUGGGGAAUAUUGCACAAUGGGCGGAAGCCUGAUGCAGCAACGCCGCGUGCGGGAUGACGGCCUUCGGGUUGUAAACCGCUGUCGCCUGUGACGAAGCGUGAGUGACGGUAAUGGGUAAAGAAGCACCGGCUAACUACGUG